ACCUGCGGCAGGCUUAACACAUGCAAGUCGAACGCCCCGCAAGGGGAGUGGCAGACGGGUGAGUAACGCGUGGGAACAUACCCUUUCCUGCGGAAUAGCUCCGGGAAACUGGAAUUAAUACCGCAUACGCCCUACGGGGGAAAGAUUUAUCGGGGAAGGAUUGGCCCGCGUUGGAUUAGCUAGUUGGUGGGGUAAAGGCCUACCAAGGGGACGAUCCAUAGCUAGCCGAAAGGGAUGAUCAGGUGGAUAGGAAUUGAGACACGGCCCAAACUCCUACGGGCAGCAGUAGUGGGCAGCUAGACAAUGGGCGCAAGCCUAUUCCGCCAAGCCAGCGUGAGUGAUGAAGGCCUUAGGGUUGUAAAGCUCUUUCACCGGAGAAGAUAAUGACGGUAUCCGGAGAAGAAGCCCCGGCUAACUUCGUCCCAGCAGCCGCGGUAAUACGAAGGGGGCUAGCGUUGUUCGUAAUUACUGGGCGUAAAGCGCAAGGAGGCGGAUAUUUAAGUCAGGGGUGAAAUCCCAGAGCUCAACUCUGGAACUGCCUUUGAUACUGGGUAUCUUGAGUAUGGAAGAUGGUAAGUGGAAUUCCGAGUGUAGAGGUGAAAUUCGUAGAUAUUCGGAGGAACACCAAGUGGCGAAAGGCGGCUUACCUGCUCCAUUACUGACGCUGAGGUGCGAAAGCGUGGGAGCAAACAGGAUUAGAUACCCUCGUAGUCCACCCCGUAAACGAUGAAUUUUAGCCGUCGGGCAGUAUACUGUUAGGUGGCGCAGCUAACGCAUUAAACAUUCCGCCUGCGGAGUACGGUCGCAAGAUUAAAACUCAAAGGAAUUGACGGGGCCCGCACAAGCGGUGGAGCAUGUGGUUAAUUUAGCCUGCAAUCGCGCAGAACCUUACCCAGCUCUUGACAUUCGGGGUUUGGGCAUGUGGGGAACAUUGUCCUUCAGCUUAUGGCUGGCCCCAGAACAGGUGCUGCAUGGCUGUCUGUCAGCUCGUGUCGUGAGAUGUUGGGUUAAGUCCCGCAACGAGCGCAACCCUCGCCCUUAGUUGCCAGCAUUUAGUUAAACACUCUAAGGGGACUGCCGGUGAUAAAGCCGAGAGGAAGGUGGGGAUGACGUCAAGUCCUCAUGGCCCUUGCGGGCUGGGCUACACCGUGCUACAAUGGUGGUGACAGUGGGCAGCGAGCAGCGAUGUCGAACGCUAAUCUCCAAAAGCCAUCUCAGUUCGGAUUGCACUCUGCAACUCGAGUGCAUGAAGUUGGAAUCGCUAGUAACCGCAGAUCAGCAUGCUGCGGUGAAUACGUUCCCGGGCCUUGUACACACCGCCCCGUCAC
rnacentral:rRNA from 1 species